rnacentral:rRNA from 1 species
AGCAGCCGCGGUAAUUCCAGCUCCAAUAGCGUAUAUUAAAGUUGUUGCAGUUAAAAAGCUCGUAGUUGAAUUUCGGAAUUUGUCGGUUGGUCGGGCUUCACUGUCCGCACUGGCCUGAUAGAUUCCUACCUUCUGAAUAACCAGCAUGCUAUUAAGUUAGUGCGUUGGGGAAGCAGAGCUAUUACCUUGAAAAAAUUAGAGUGCUUAAAGCAGGCUUACGCUUGAAUAGAUUAGCAUGGAAUAAUAAAAUAGGACGGCAUGGUUCUAUUUUGUUGGUUUCUAGGACCACCGUAAUGAUUAAUAGGGAUAGUUGGGGGCAUUAGUAUUCAAUUGUCAGAGGUGAAAUUCUUGGAUUUAUUGAAGACUAACUACUGCGAAAGCAUUUGCCAAGGAUGUUUUCAUUAAUCAAGAACGAAAGUUAGGGGAUCGAAGACGAUCAGAUACCGUCGUAGUCUUAACCAUAAACUAUGCCGACUAGGGAUCGGAUGAUGUUAAUUUUUUAAUGACUCAUUCGGCGCCUUACG